AUUGAACGCUGGCGGCAGGCCUAACACAUGCAAGUCGAACGAGUGGCGGACGGGUGAGUAAUGUCUGGGAAACUGCCUGAUGGAGGGGGAUAACUACUGGAAACGGUAGCUAAUACCGCAUACCAUCGGAUGUGCCCAGAUGGGAUUAGCUUGUUGGGGGGGUAACGGCUCACCUGGGCGACGAUCCCUAGCUGGGCUGCGAGGAUGACCAGCCACACUGGAACAGAGACACGGUCCAGGUUCCUACGGGAGGCAGCAGUGGGGAAUAUUGCACAAGGGGCGCAAGCCUGAUGCAGCCAUGCCGCGUGUAUGAAGAAGGCCUUCGGGUUGUAAAGUACUUUCAGCGGGGAGGCGUUACCCGCAGAAGAAGCACCGGCUAACUCCGUGCGAGCAGCCGCGGUAAUUC
rnacentral:rRNA from 1 species